rnacentral:rRNA from 1 species
CCAGAGAACUUAGCAGAGAUGCUUUGGUGCCUUCGGGAACUCUGAGACAGGUGCUGCAUGGCUGUCGUCAGCUCGUGUUGUGAAUGUUGGGUUAAGUCCCGCAACGAGCGCAACCCUUAUCCUUUGUUGCCAGCGGCUCGGCCGGGAACUCAAAGGAGACUGCCGGUGAUAAACCGGAGGAAGGUGGGGAUGACGUCAAGUCAUCAUGGCCCUUACGGCCAGGGCUACACACGUGCUACAAUGGCGCAUACAAAGAGAAGCGACCUCGCGAGAGCAAGCGGACCUCACAAAGUGCGUCGUAGUCCGGAUUGGAGUCUGCAACUCGACUCCAUGAAGUCGGAAUCGCUAGUAAUCGUAGAUCAGAAUGCUACGGUGAAUACGUUCCCGGGCCUUGUACACACCGCCCGUCACACCAUGGGAGUGGGUUGCAAAAGAAGUAGGUAGCUUAACCUUCGGGAGGGCGCUUACCACUUUGUGAUUCAUGACUGGGGUGAAGUCGUAACAAGGUAAGCGUAGCGAG